GACGAACGCUGGCGGCAUGCCUUACACAUGCAAGUCGAACGGCAGCACGGGAGCAAUCCUGGUGGCGAGUGGCGAACGGGUGAGUAAAGUAUCGGAACGUGCCCAGUCGGGGGGGAUAACGGAGCGAAAGUUACGCUAAUAGCGCAUACGAUCUAUGGAUGAAAGCGGGGGAUCGCAAGUCCUCGCGCGAUUGGAGCGGCCGAUAUCAGAUUAGGUAUUUGGUGGGGUGAAGGCCCACCAAGCCGACGAUCUGUAGCUGGUCUGAGAGGACGACCAGCCACACUGGGACUGAGACACGGCCCAGACUCCUACGGGAGGCAGCAGUGGGGAAUUUUUGACAAUGGGCGAAAGCCUGAUCCAGCCAUGCCGCGUGCAGGAUGAAGGCCUUCGGGUUGUAAACUGCUUUUGUACGGAACGAAAAGGACUGCCCUAAUACGGUGGUCCCAUGACGGUACCGUAAGAAUAAGCACCGGCUAACUACGUGCCAGCCGCCGCAGUAAGAC
rnacentral:rRNA from 1 species